GUACUCGCUUCGGCAGUACAUAUACUAAAAUUGGAACGAUACGUAGAAGAUUAGCAUGGACCUUGCGCAAGGAUGACACGCAAAAAGCCGGCAUGGUAGCUCAACAUGUUC